rnacentral:tRNA from 1 species
GGGCGCGUAGCUCAAUUGGUUAGAGCAGACGUCUUAUACACGUCCGGUUCUAGGUUCGAGUCCUAGCGCGCCCACCA